CAGCCGCCACGGUAAUACGAAGGGGGCUAGCGUUGUUCGGAUUUACUGGGCGUAAAGGGCGCGUAGGCGGACUGAUAAGUCAGGGGUGAAAUCCCAAGGCUCAACCUUGGAACUGCCUUUGAUACUGUUUGUCUUGAGUUCGAGAGAGGUAAGUGGAACUGCGAGUGUAGAGGUGAAAUUCGUAGAUAUUCGCAAGAACACCAGUGGCGAAGGCGGCUUACUGGCUCGAAACUGACGCUGAGGCGCGAAAGCGUGGGGAGCAAACAGGAUUAGAUACCCCUGUAGUCCCUGUCUCUUAUAC
rnacentral:rRNA from 1 species